rnacentral:rRNA from 1 species
UACAGAGGUCUCAAGCGUUGUUCGGAUUCAUUGGGCGUAAAGGGUGCGUAGGCGGCGUGGUAAGUCGGGUGUGAAAUCUCGGAGCUUAACUCCGAAACUGCAUUCGAUACUGCCGUGCUUGAGGACUGGAGAGGAGACUGGAAUUUACGGUGUAGCGGUGAAAUGCGUAGAUAUCGUAAGGGAGACCAGUGGCGAAGGCGGGUCUCUGGACAGUUCCUGACGCUGAGGUACGAAGGCCAGGGGAGCAAACGGG